CUAUAUAAAGGCUGCCCAGCUAGGGAGCAGGGCAGUCUCUCCCUCACUGGCAAGGGAGGAGGACUGGCUCCUGAGCAGAAAGGUAGCACCUUGGACAGAGCAGUGCUGGGGAAGGGCAGAAGUUGCUGGGGCACUCUGGCCAAGGAAACCCCAGGCUGCAGGCCUUCCUACAAAGGGGUGAGCAUGUGCGCAGGGCCGAAGGGGAAGCAGCCCAGGGACAAUAGUUUGACAAGAGGAAAGAAGGAGGGCAGAGAGGCUGCCGCUAGAGGGUCCCUGGGUCGGGACCCAGAGUAGCGUGUGGGCCUGGGUCCCCCUCCUUCCCCCUUGUACUACACCUUGCUGAAGAGGAGCGUGGCCUGAUACAGGCUGUGGCUGGUCCCUGCGACAAAGGGGCUAGAGUUUGAGGCGGCAGUCGGCCACUAGAGCUGGUGUAGAUCGAAGACUGCUGAUAACACCAAACGCCCAGAAGGGGGUGAGACCAGAGCAGUGGGCACUGCCGGAGGGCAGUAUCCUGAAGGGGACACUGCAGAGCGGGGAGCAAUGCGGGUCCCCAAAGCAGACGAAGGGCAAGGCACCACACCUGAAAGGUGCUCCAUGACUGGACAGAGAAUUCCCAGAGCAACCAGCAGGAGGCACCAGUGUUGGUCGGUGUCAGCAACAGAAUCUAGCAGGAAAGAGCUGCAGCAGGCCCACCAAUACAAACUGGUGACCAGGAAGCUAAAAUCAGGAUUCUUCUGGCUGGAUACUGUGGUCAAGAACAGGACCCAAUGUUGGCACAGAAAACUGCCUCCUUAUCCUCUCUGGAUGAUUCUACUGUCCUGGAAUCUCCUUCUUCCUCUGUGCCUGAGAACUUUAAGGCCUAUCAGGACCUCCUGAGGCAUAUGGUUGCUACCUUGGGUAUCCAGCUGGAAUUCCUUCAGGAGAAUAUACAUAAGCUGCUGGAUAUUCUCCAAUCAUUAGCUCUAGGGAAAGUAGCCCUUCUGAUAAAUGAGGCUCUCUUGGAGCCUGAAAAAGCCCUCUUUAAUAUCACAUCUUCACUGCCCCCGACAGUGAAGUAUUUGAAGAAGCCAUACUUCAUCCUUAUGCAGGGUUUUGAGGGUUUUUACUCACACCCAGCCCCUAAAUCAUUGGUGGAAACUGCAGCAAAUGACAGGGCUUGGCAGGGGAGGCAUAAGUUUACCCGAAGGACAAAGAGUCCAAGAGGAUGGACUUAAUGGGGAGGAAGAUUUAUAGCUCCUCUUCCCUGUAAAUGUGCAUCACAAGCCAUCAUGUGCUCUCUGAAUCCAACCUUUGAUUGCUUUCAGCUUCCCAAGUGAUCCAGAUCUCUCCAUGUCAGGGACCUGUCAUUACUAUUUGCCAGCCCGUCACUCGUGACUCUAGCACACUGGUGUGGCCAGAAAGGGGACAGGGGCUGCACCCUUCAUCCUCAGAACUAUCUCAUUGUGGGGUGCAAUCCAGACCAGUGAG